UACGUAGGUGGCAAGCGUUGUCCGGAAUUAUUGGGCGUAAAGGGAGCGCAGGUGGGAAAAUAAGUCUGUUUUAAAAGUGCGGGGCUCAACCCCGUGAUGGAAUGGAAACUGUUUUUCUUGAGUGCAGGAGAGGAAAGUGGAAUUCCUAGUGUAGCGGUGAAAUGCGUAGAUAUUAGGAGGAACACCAGUGGCGAAGGCGACUUUCUGGACUGUAACUGACACUGAGGCUCGAAAGCCAGGGUAGCGAACGGGAUUAGAUACCCCGGUAGUCCUGGCCGUAAACGAUGGGUACUAGGUGUAGGAGGUAUCGACCCCUUCUGUGCCGGAGUUAACGCAAUAAGUACCCCGCCUGGGGAGUACGGCCGCAAGGUUGAA
rnacentral:rRNA from 1 species